rnacentral:misc_RNA from 1 species
GAUGAAGAACGUAGCGAAAUGCGAUAAGUAAUGUGAAUUGCAGAAUUCAGUGAAUCAUCGAGUCUUUGAACGCACAUUGCGCCCCCUGGUAUUCCGGGGGGCAUGCCUGUCCGAGCGUCAUUGCUGCCCUCAAGCACGGCUUGUGUGUUGGGCCCCCGUCCCCGGUUUCCCCCGGGGACGGGCCCGAAAGGCAGCGGCGGCACCGCGUCCGGUCCUCGAGCGUAUGGGGCUUUGUCACCCGCUCUGUAGGCCCGGCCGGCGCUUGCCGACACAUCAAUCUUUUUUCCAGGUUGACCUCGGAUCAGGUAGGGAUACCCGCUGAACUUAAGCAUAUCAAUAAGCGGAGGA